rnacentral:rRNA from 1 species
UAAAGGAAGCGAUUCCGGCUACGGAUGGUCAUGCGUCGCAUUAGCUAGUUGGCGGGGUAACGGCCCACCAAGGCGACGAUGCGUAGGGGUUCUGAGAGGAAGGUCCCCCACACUGGUACUGAGACACGGACCAGACUCCUACGGGAGGCAGCAGUGAGGAAUAUUGGUCAAUGGCCGCAGGGCUGAACCAGCCAAGUCGCGUGAGGGAUGACGGUCCUAUGGAUUGUAAACCUCUUUUGUCAGGGAGCAAAGGACGCCACGUGUGGCGUUUUGCGAGCACCUGAAGAAAAAGCAUCGGCUAACUCCGUGCCAGCAGCCGCGGUAAUACGGAGGAUGCGAGCGUUAUCCGGAUUUAUUGGGUUUAAAGGGUGCGCAGGCGGAAUGUCAAGUCAGCGGUAAAAUUUCGGGGCUCAACCCCGUCGUGCCGUUGAAACUGGCGUUCUUGAGUGAGCGAGAAGUAUGCGGAAUGCGUGGUGUAGCGGUGAAAUGCAUAGAUAUCACGCAGAACUCCGAUUGCGAAGGCAGCAUACCGGCGCUCAACUGACGCUCAUGCACGAAAGCGUGGGUAUCGAACAGGAUUAGAUACCCUGGUAGUCCACGCAGUAAACGAUGAAUACUAACUGUCCGGGCCGAUUGAGGUCUGG